GGAGUCGUUUGGGUGGUUUCCCUAUAUAUAUAGGGAGGAAAGUCCGAACUCCGCAGGACAGGCUGCCUCCUAACAGGAGGAUCUUUUGAAUGGAAAGUGCAACAGAAAAUAAACAUCUACAAUGUAGAAAAUGGUGAAAUGGUGGUGUAAGAGACCACCGGUUUAUCAGGUGACUGAUAAAGCCGGGCAAACCCCAGCCGGAGCAAGAUUGAGUAGCCCUUUGUUGUCCGCAGUUAGGGCGGGUAAAUCGCAUGAAUUAAAUUGUGAAAUUUAAUCAAGAUGAAUAACCAUCGUUCUAUUUUAGAAUACAGAAUUCGGCUUAUAAAUCGACUCCAAAU
rnacentral:RNase_P_RNA from 1 species